UGGAAAGUUGCUGAUUUAUUUUCACCAUUUCUCCAAGGAUAGUUUGAAAAAGUAACUGUCAGAUCCCAAAGUCAGUAGGAUGGCAGCAAGAAUCCAUCUCAUACAGCAAAAAGGCAAUGUCAGAGUGGUCUGAAAUUGAACACUGCUGUUAAUGGCACAGUUGCUUUGGCCUGCAAGGGAGAAGAAGCACUGAGGACAUCGUGAGGACUUUCAUCUCUCACUCAUGUUUGCUGAGGGUAGAAGGCAUCACCGUGCUUCCUGACCAGGUCCCAGAAUUAAGU